GACGAACGCUGGCGGCGUGCUUAACACAUGCAAGUCGAGCGGUAAGGCCCUUUCGGGGGUACACGAGCGGCGAACGGGUGAGUAACACGUGGGUGACCUGCCCUCAGCUCUGGGAUAAGCCUGGGAAACCGGGUCUAAUACUGGAUAUGACUCCAUGACGCAUGUUGUGGGGUGGAAAGCCUUGUGCGGCUGAGGAUGGGCCCGGCGGCCUAUCAGCUUGUUGGUGGGGUGANGGCCUACCAAGGCGACGACGGGUAGCCGGCCGUGAGAGGGCAACCGGCCGACACUGGGACUGAGGACACGGCCCAGACUCCUACGGGAGGCAGCAGUGGGGAAUCUUGCGCAA
rnacentral:rRNA from 1 species